UGAGGAAUUUUGCGCAAUGGGGGAAACCCUGACGCAGCAACGCCGCGUGAGUGAUGAAGGCUUUCGGGUCGUAAAGCUCUGUCAAGUGGGAAGAACAAACCUGAUGCUAAUACCAUCAGGGACUGACGGUACCACUGAAGGAAGCACCGGCUAACUCCGUGCCAGCAGCCGCGGUAAUACGGGGGGUGCAAGCGUUAUUCGGAAUCAUUGGGCGUAAAGAGCGCGUAGGCGGCCCAUUAAGUCAGAUGUGAAAUCCCGGGGCUUAACCCCGGAAGUGCAUUUGAAACUAUUGGGCUUGAGUAUGGGAGAGGGAAGUGGAAUUCCUGGUGUAGAGGUGAAAUUCGUAGAUAUCAGGAGGAACAUCGGUGGCGAAGGCGACUUCCUGGACCAAUACUGACGCUGAGGCGCGAAGGCGUGGGGAGCAAACAGGAUUAGAUACCCUGGUAGUCCACGCAGUAAACGUUGAACACUAGGUGUAGCGGGUAUUGACCCCUGCUGUGCCGCAGUUAACGCAUUAAGUUGACCGCCUGGGGAGUACGGCCGCAAGGUUA
rnacentral:rRNA from 1 species